CGAGAACCACAUGCCAAACCUGGGUCUUAUGAGCUCCUCCUUCCAAAUGUCUAGCUUAGUGCAAGGCACAAGGGCGUUGCCCAUUAACACUGGUGAACUCAGCUGAAGCUCCUGGCCUCAGAGAACCGUACAACAGUCAACCGAGUGAUGGGGGAAGACACAAGCAGCAAACCCAGGACCUCCAGGGUGCUCGUAAGGCACGGAGAGCUCUGACUCGGUGCUGGUGAAGGUGGACUCAUCGGAUGAAGGGAAUUCACCCGUGCUGCUCAAGGGUGCCUCAGCCAUGGGUCCCUGUUCAGGCUGCUCCUUUGAGGUCAGGUUGUCCUCCACAGAAGACUUAGAGGUCUCCUCGUCUGAGAGGCCGGUUUCUUCAUUUUCAAAGGUAAUGUUGGCAUUUUGGAAGAUGAGCGGGUGGUAGUCCAGGGCUUCCCACGGCUCUCCCUCCUCACUGAUAC
rnacentral:lncRNA from 1 species